rnacentral:tRNA from 1 species
UACAUAUAGUUUAACAAAACACCAGACUGUGACUCUGGAAAUCGAAGCCACAAACUUCUUAUGCACC